UUCCUCUCAGGGUCACUCCUGGAGAGUUCCCCAUCCUCUACCAGUCUUGGCUAUGGGAGGGAGAGUCAAGCAGAGGCCUACCCAUUCCAUUCCUAGCUUGGGCAGCGGCUAGCGAGUGGAAGGCAAUCUGCUACAGGU